GUCUGCAAAGCCGCAGGACGUCACUGUGGUUGCUGCAGUUAUCAAAUUGAUGUGGAAGCAGGAUGGAAAGAAUUAACACAGACAAAACACAGGCCAGAAAUAGACUGAUCCGUCCGUCCCUAUGAGGGGUAUCAGGAGGACUGCAAGAGUCGCACACCAUUUCAGGAAAUGAGAGAUCUCCUAAAGGCCUUUGCUAUCACACAGAGACUUCCACAACAACUUCUCAUGUCGGAAAGAGAGAACAUUUCAUUCACUUCCUUACUUCCUUUUUCACUUGGGCCAGCAAUCAGAUGCAGACCAAGACAAAAUUCUUGCAGAACUCCUGGAAUGUGCCAA